AUUACUAUGAAUAAGUGCCAGCUUAGUAAAAAUCUCCUUGACGAUCGUCUUGGCCGUGGCUCGCCUGGGUGGUGGUGGGACACCGGACCGUCUGAGGUGUGACUUGAAUGGCCGGCUAACAAAUUUCUCAGGAAGAAGAGUGGAUGGAAGGAGAAGGAAUGGAAGGUUCAAGAAAGAUCUCUGUGUAAGCCUCGUGAAUAUAAGAGCAAGUUGAGUAUUCGAAUGACAUUUUUUAUCUUCCGGUGCUUGCAUGUUGACGAAUGUGAGAUUUGCCCUCCAGAGCUCCGGUUGCUGGCACGACGAGAAGACGGGACGAUUUCUUUGAAAGAUUAAAGAUUCAGGAACAUCAAACGUGCUUCUUCUAAUCUAGCAGGGACUGGGCAAGAGGUCAUCACAACUCAAGCAUGACAAGCUGGUAGUGAAAGGAAAGUGAGGACCAAGUGGGAAGAGAAAGACGAGAAAAAAACUUUUAGCGAGGAUGUGCAGGAAGAGACGCAGUGAACGGAGGAAGGAGGGCACGGCAAGGGAGCAGCGGGCGGUCAGUCUGUCAGAAGCCUGAAGUAAGGUAGACGCAGCGCGCGGCAUCUCUUGUCCUGCUCUGUGAAACUUUAGUUUUGAUUAUUGCUCUUUAUCUUAGUGUGUCAAAACUAUCUUGUGUCAAUCUUCGUGUGGCGGACUUAUUUUGUAAGUGCUCUGAUCAAGAACUAACGAAUUGUGAGCCGGGAAACAGAAGAAAUAAGUGAUGUAACUAGAGAGAGGAGUGAAUGAUCGAACUGGAGACACAAGUGUUGGCCUGCGCGCUGUCCUGCUCUUCCGUGAGUUGAGAAACGUGAACAUUAGUAACUGUUAAAGAUACGUAAACUUUUGGCUGAACAUUAACAUAGCUCCGCGGGUCAGCUCUGAUUAACACCAUCUAAACACCGUGAGUACUGAAGACUAGCGGGACAGAGCAGCACUUGUGAAGAACGGGAAUUUGUCAAUAUCAGACACGAGCUGUUCUCUCCACUCGUCUGAGUAGAGAAUACCUGUGUGGGGUCAUCUGCCUACCUUCACCUGUGCCUCCACCUGGAAUCGUUGAAGGCUGAGAUAGUGUAUGUUUCAAUGGAAUGUGUUCGAUCUGAGAGUCUACAUACAGUCUAGACUCUAGAUAGAUAGUCAAUCUCGGUGAGUGA